CCUAUUUCCCAUUUUGUAUAUGCGUAAGUAUAUAACUAUAUAUCUAAUAAUCUGUGAAUGACUUGAUGCAGCAAAAUGGUGGUUGAAUCAUGGCACAAGCGCACCCAAGCUGAAGAAUUUGGUAAGAAAGAUCCUCACAUUGACAUGCACCUCCUCAGCUUGUGAGAGAAACUGGUCAUCAUUCGAACAAGUUCAUGCAAAAAAACGUAAUAGAGUACUCAGUGAUAGGUUGAGGGAUCUUGUCUUCGUCAAAUUCAACGCGAGGCUGCAGCAUAAGAGAGCAAAUAAGAACAGGGAUCCUAUAGAGAAGGUUAUCAAUGAUGUUCUGGAGGAUGAAGCCAAUGAGUUCAUUACUGGGAUCGUUCCUAAUGACAAUGCCAGUGAACAUUUAGGUAAUGAAGCUCAAGCUCAACAAGAGACUUCAACAUCACAAGCACAAGGAAGAAAAAGAAAGAGGUCUGCAGUAGCCAAGAAGAAGAGGAAGAAGAGCAUCCACUCUCUUCUUAACAGCAUUGAAGAAGAUCCCAUGCUAUGUUCUUCAUCUUCGGAAUCAGAUGAUCAAGCUCAAGAUGAGUCUAACUAUGCCUCUGGUGAUUCAGAUUGAUGCACUGCAAUUGUAUGGCUGUUCGUAUGUAGUUUGCCAUCUUACUUUUGUUAUGUGCAAGUGUGACUCUAGUCCUGCUGGUUGUUAGAUUGUGCAAGUGUGCAAGUUACCUACUGUGCAAGUGUGCCUUUUGUUGUUAUGCGCUGAACUGAACCAUCUCCUCUGA